UACGGAGGAUGCGAGCGUUAUCCGGAUUUAUUGGGUUUAAAGGGUGCGUAGGCGGUUUGAUAAGUUAGAGGUGAAAUGUCGGGGCUCAACCCCGAAACUGCCUCUAAUACUGUUGGACUAGAGAAUAGUUGCGGUAGGCGGAAUGUAUGGUGUAGCGGUGAAAUGCUUAGAGAUCAUACAGAACACCGAUUGCGAAGGCAGCUUACCAAACUAUAUCUGACGUUGAGGCACGAAAGCGUGGGUAGCAAACAGG
rnacentral:rRNA from 1 species